CUUUAAAGGUUUGGAAAGAUUUGAUUACAUGGCAGGGAAAGUAAAAAUGUGGAUGAGAUAUCCUGACGCUCAGGCCACAUGACCAGGUGAUAAGGCGUUCAGAGACUGCCAGCGGCAGCUGCUGGCUCAGGUGCGGCCUGUGUGGGAGGACUCGUGUCUCGGUGGUUACAGAGAAGCUGGCUUCCACGGUGUGAACCCGACUGAAUCACAGGCCGCUUUUUUGUUCUCCCUCGGCCUUGGAGGGCCUGGGACGUUCCUGUUGCCCAACAUCCUGGUGAGCUGAGAACAUUCUGUAGAUUAAUUAGGUUCUCUCCUCUGGCUCAGCAGGUCUGUUCUAGCCAUUUGACCAAAGGCUCUCUGAUAUUUUCUACCAGCCUUAGAACGACAGUCUGCAGAUGUGUGCACAUAAAUGUCUGGGAGGAGCACACAGAUACUGUGGGAGGAGUGGGUCCGGCGUAGCUAUUGGGAGAUCUCGCUCGUACACAUGGCGCUACAUAGAAAGAAUGCCCUGAGGUGAAGGUGACAGCUCGGCAGUUUCUUAAUACCCUGAACUUGAGCGUGGCCUGCGCUAGAGAAAAUACACGGUGCUUCUUAAAAACAAAAGCCAGCAGCCUGCAAGAGGGCUGUGCCUGCGAGUUCCUGGGAGCAGGAGGGGGCUGUUCCUCCGCCCCUGGCUCCAGUUUCACCCAAGUCACUUCACAGCAGUUGGAAGGAGGUCACCAAUUGCUGCGGCCACACCAACAGACGUCGUCCGGCCUUCUUCACACGCAACGAAGCGCCCAGGUGGAAAUGCAUGUACCCGCGGCAGCUUCUCGGCAGCGGGCUUCCUGGGACGGAAGACACAGGCUCGCCCGAGGGAGACGGAAGCAGGGGAUCUGCUAGAACUCAGCUCGCCUCCUCCUUUCUCAGCAGGGCAGAGAAUCAUGGGCUUGUGCUGACGAAAGCUCCAGAAAAUGGACUCAUUUAACCUUUCCAAAGAUAUUAUCCAAGCUGCAAAAUCUUGGCAAUCUGAAGACCUUUUAAGUCGAUAUACCAAAGAGCUUUAGUCAGGAUUGAAUGCAAAAUGCCAAAAUUUCACUUUUAAAAUCAUCGUAACAUCUAAAUACAACCUAAGCACACUUGUAAACUGAUGCCGAACAGGCACUUGGAGAGCCCUCCCUGCACCCCUUCCUCGCCCCCUCCUUUGUGCAAAUGCUGUUUGCCCAGAACUUCAGCCACUGAAAAUCCUGGGAACUUUCUCUUCCUGGCUGCCAACCUAGCAGUUUGGACUCACAGACGAGAUUUUUAAAUCACUGAGGGAUUUAAGCCUCUCUGUGUCACAGAAAAGCGAACACCCUCCCAGUUGAAGGUGGCCCCAAAGAUGCGGGCCUGGGACCCAGGACUUCUGCAGGAGAGUGGACGCCUGGGUGCCCCCCGCCUUGCCCUGCACAUGAAUAACAGAGUACACCAGUCAUCAUAAGAAGAAAAAUUCACAUUUAAAGUUUGGAAAGCAACAGGACAAAGGUCUGUCUUCAGUGGUGCGUAGACAUGCUCGUGAUUGAAUUGGAAAUAGUUCUCUUUCCUUCUCUCUGACUUCCUAACUGAAAAGCUGCAGCGUGGGGAGAAAGGCUGCUCAGAAGCCUGGAGCCAGAACACGCACCCCGGCUUUUGCAGGGCCGGCUCACUUGGUUAGAAUCAAAGGAAAAGCCUUGUUAUUUGGGAAGCUGGGCGUCCUCACCAAAUUAGGGGAUUUAAUUUGCAGAUAUCUAAGGAGUGCUUUGAAAUGAAAGAUGAACUAAAAUCUGCUCUGAGGCCCGUGAUUUUUCACCAGUGAAGGACUCUCUUGCUGCUGGACAUACAUGAAAAGCAUCAUCUGAUCUGAAACGCAAGUCCCUGCAAGACAGAGGAGAGACUUUAUAAACAUUUUAUACCAUUCUAUGAAAUCAAUUCGAUUCAGGGCUAGAAUUCAAGAAGUAAUCCAUGGGCAAGUAUAUCUGAUGGUAAACCCAAACGAUUAUAUUGUUAACCUCUUGUACUUUUUUUAAUUUUUUAUUAUUUGAUAUUAUUAUCACAAAAGUCGCUGGAACAGGAUCCAUGAGCUGCUUCUUCACUGCUUAGUGUUUUCAGAAGCUGAUGGAUUAUUAAGCUCCAAUUGAAUACUUGAUUUCCAAUGAUUCCAUUAAUUUUUCUGGUUUGUGGUAGGAUUUGAUUUACUUAUUUUGUACUUUAACACACCAAUAAAAAAUAGAUACUAAGAAAUAGUGAAAUUUGUUGCUUCAAAAUAACCCUUAAAAUUUAGAGUUUAGUGAAAUUAAGCAAUUCAAAUAGAGAAACGAUUAUCCUUCAUUUCCUUAAGGCACAGAAAUUGAGACUAGGUUCAAGAACCUUCAUAUUUUAAAAACUGGAAAAUACUGGCUAAGUGAGGACUGGGCGGUCAUCCUCCACACAUGCUCUGUGUGCUUGGAGCGAAGAGGGGAACGCACUGAAUGAGAUGAACUGGAAGGAGGUGCAGCAGCGAAGGAAAUCCUUCUGUUGGGAGAGUUCACGUGUUUAGGAUAAUCCUUCGAAUAGGACGCAACAGUGAUGUGAGGAGAAGCUUUGGAGCUGAUUUAGAUUGAGACAGUCUAUCACAGGCUGUUUGGUUGCAUCCCUUUGGGGCCAGUCUCAUUUUAGGUCUAAAUAUGCAGGAAUGGGGCUCUGGCUUCCAGAAGUUUCAGGCUGCAAAAGGCUGGGGCCACCAUCUUUACAGAUAAUCCAUUAGUUUGAUUCUCUUGGGGGCCAGGAAGAAAACCAAGAACACUCAAUGGACUAUGGGACUCAAAUAAUCCACAGGAGGCGUUUGUAAAGGGGCAAAACUGUGUGUGCCCAGUAAUUCUUGGAGCUCGCAAUAGAGGUGGAGAAGCAGUGAUGGGCCCCACAGCAGCAGGGGCUUGGGAAUGACGGAAAAGAACAAAAUGAUGGAAGGACAGCUGGAAGAAACAGGGAAGCUUCCUUUUAACUGGAUGCUGGGUCUCAGCCUUGAAUAGUUCCUGGCCUUCGGAGGCCUUUUCUCAGGGAGCAUGGCCUGGGGACUCCCUGCUUGCUCUGCUGAGCUUUCAGGGAAGGAGAAAUGGGCAAGGCCAGAGGCGACCAUCAGGUGCUCCGUAGGCACAGAGGCAGAACUCAAGGUUUAGCUUUACCUUAAGAGGGUGACUGCAAAGUGUGCUCCCUGGACCAGGGGCCUCGGCCUCACCUGGGAGCUUGCUAAAAAUGCAAGUUGCUCUCACCCAGACUGAAUCUAAAAUUCUGGGUACAGCCCAGCAAUCUCUGCUCACACUUUCUCCAGAUGAUUCUGGUGCAAGCUAACCUUUCAAAAGUCCUGGGUCCCAUUCCCAGAGGCUGUGAUUAAGUUGGUCUAGGGCUGUGGCCUAGACCUGGGGAUUUUGGAAGCCCACAGGUGAUUCUGUUGUGCAGCCAUGGUUGGCAGGCUGUUCACGGUGCUGUUCAACAGGUCCUGCUGUGGGAUGGAAAGGGUCUGUAUCUGCACUGGCCAAUGUGGGAGCCAGCCCUGUGGCUAUUGAGCACUUGGCCCCUGGCUAGUGCAACUGAGGAGCUGAAUUUUUCAUUUCAUUUACUUUUAAUUAAGUUUAAAUAGCUAAAUGUGGCUAUUGUCUGCCUUAUUGGAUAGCAGAGUUCUAGAACCACAGAUAAAUGUAAUACUGUCCCUUUAGUUGAUUUAAAAAUCCAAUGCCUCUGUAAUCCUAGCACUUUGGGAGGCCAAGGUGGGCUGAUCACGAGGUCAAGAGAUCGAGACCAUUCUUGCCAACAUGGUGAAACCCCGUCUCUACUAAAAAUACAAAAAUUAGCCGGGCAUGGUGGCAGGCACCUGUAAUCCCAGCUACUCGGGAGGCUGAGGCAGGAGAAUCACUUGAACCCACGAGGCGGAGCUUGCAGUGAGCCAAGAUUGCACCACUGCACUCCAGCCUGGUGACAGACGGAGAUUCUGUCUCAAAAAAAAAUGCCUCACAGAGUUAAAUAUUUAAGUUGAUAAGAAAAAUGGUAGUCGAGUCUUUGAGGAUUAUUUUAAAAUCCACUUUUGGUGAUAAAUAGAUAAAAACAGUGUGGUAGGGCCCAGAAGUUCUUCCUGAUUUCUACCUGUUGGAGCUGAAUUCCUCAAUUUUACUUGUAGGAGAACGGCUUCCUAAAGGGCACCUUACCCAGCCAUUCCUGCAUGCAAGUGUGUAUGAGAACUGCAGGGGGCAUUAUAUGAAAAUCCAAUUCCUGGGCUCUAUCCCAGAUGUUCCUAUCCAAUAGGUCUGGGUUGGGGCCCUGGAAACUGCAUUUUUGGCAAACCCCUUACUGAUUUGGAUGCACAAGUUUCAAGGAACAGGCACUAAGGAUCGCUGAUGUAGAAUCUGUUUGUCCAUCCAGGAAAGCCAGAGUCACCACACUUGAGUAAAUGGGUUUUGAUGUAGGAAAGGUCUUUAUAAUUCUUUCAUGAAUUCACCAAACUUUAAAAACUGUACUAUUUUUGGCUGGGCUUGGUGGCUCACGCCUGUAAUCUCAGCACUUUGGGGGCCAAGGCGGGUGGAUCAUGAGGUCAGGAGAUCGAGACCAUCCUGGCUAACACGGUGAAAACCUGUCUCUACGAAAAAUACAAAAAAAAAAAAUUAGCCGGGCGUGGUGGCGGGUGCCUGUAGUCCCAGCUACUCAGGAGGCUGAGGCAGGAGAAUGGCGUGAACCC
rnacentral:lncRNA from 1 species